UACAGAGGGUGCGAGCGUUGUUCGGAAUUACUGGGCGUAAAGAGCGCGUAGGCGGCACGAUACGACCACGGUGAAAGCCCCCGGCUCAACUGGGGAGGGUCCGUGGUAACGGUCGAGCUGUGAGUGCAGGAGAGGGAAGUGGAACUCCGGGAGUAGCGGUGAAAUGCGUAGAGACCCGGAGGAACACCAGUGGCGAAGGCGGCUUCCUGGCCCGUUACCGACGCUCAGGCGCGACAGCGUGGGGAGCAAACAGG
rnacentral:rRNA from 1 species